rnacentral:rRNA from 1 species
AAGUCGAGGGGCAGCAUUUUAGUUUGCUUGCAAACUGAAGAUGGCGACCGGCGCACGGGUGAGUAACACGUAUCCAACCUGCCGAUAACUCCGGAAUAGCCUUUCGAAAGAAAGAUUAAUACCGGAUGGCAUACGAAUAUCGCAUGAUAUUUUUAUUAAAGAAUUUCGGUUGUCGAUGGGGAUGCGUUCCAUUAGGCAGUUGGCGGGGUAACGGCCCACCUAGUCUUCGAUGGAUAGGGGUUCUGAGAGGAAGGUCCCCACAUUGGAACUGAGACACGGUCCAAACUCC